GACGUAGGGCGCGAGCGUUGUCCGGAUUUAUUGGGCGUAAAGAGCUCGUAGGCGGCUUGUCGCGUCGACUGUGAAAUCCCGCGGCUCAACUGCGGGUCUGCAGUCGAUACGGGCAGGCGUAGAGUUCGGUAGGGGAGACUGGAAUUCCUGGUGUAGCGGUGAAAUGCGCAGAUAUCAGGAGGAACACCCGACGGGCGAAAGGCAGCUUACUGGGCCGAUACUGACGCUGAGGAGCGAAAGCGUGGGGAGCGAACAGG
rnacentral:rRNA from 1 species